rnacentral:misc_RNA from 1 species
GGAGCUUGCUUGUCUCAGUUGCACGCACCACCCAGAGAAAACGCAGGCCGCUGUUCUGGAGAGCCCUUGCAAUUUCUUCUGUCUGCUCCACUGUCGAGACGGACAUGCUACCAAAGGAAACAUAGACUACUGAGUUCAGAGGCUGGGAGUUUAGCCAUGUCAUGUAGGGCCCGGUGUCUAGGGUGUAGAGGUUGAAACCAUAACCACUAUCUGAUGGGAUCUGGUUAUCCAGAUAAGCAGAUGGGACUGUCGGGCCGAUGGUUG